ACAUCGGAACGUGUCCUGGAGUGGGGGAUAGCCCGGCGAAAGCCGGAUUAAUACCGCAUACGCUCUGAGGAGGAAAGGGGGGGAUCGAAAGACCUCUCGCUCAAGGGGCGGCCGAUGGCAGAUUAGCUAGUUGGUGGGGUAAAGGCCUACCAAGGCGACGAUCUGUAGCUGGUCUGAGAGGACGACCAGCCACACUGGGACUGAGACACGGCCCAGACUCCUACGGGAGGCAGCAGAGGGGAAUUUUGGACAAUGGGCGCAAGCCUGAUCCAGCAAUGCCGCGUGUGUGAAGAAGGCCUUCGGGUUGCUAAGCACUUUCGUCCGGAAAGAAAUCCUCUGGGUUAAUACCUCGGGGGGAUGACGGUACCGGAAGAAUAA
rnacentral:rRNA from 1 species